GGCUAGUCCAGUGCCGGGCGAGAGUACUGCCGGUCAAUGAGUACCCGGACCGGGCCGGCCUGGGGCUUCCAAUAGCCGGAGUCUGGGAUGGGAUCCAGGCUGCAGAUGGUUGGUCCUCAUGCUUCCCACCUAAGAGAAUCCUGAGGUCUCCCCUUUCAUGAGAACAUUGAUCUUCAAGAGGUUUUUGGACCACAGGUAUUCUCCGGCCUUGGUUAUGAGGAAUGCUUUUCCAGUUUGUGUGUGUUGGCUCCUGCAAAUCAGUUCAUUCUGGGAACCUUCUGUCGACCAGCCGUCAGCUCUAAGAGGGUGGAGGUCAGGUUCGGUCUCGGCCACAUCUUCCCCGCCGGCACCUUUGAAUUCUACCUCCUUCCUUGGCUUGACUCCUCAGCAUGCUGACAUGCUCUCAGCGACCAUCUUCAGAAGCUCUGUGAACAUGGGCUGUGUCUUUCAAAAUGAAACGCAUUCUUCCUCUACGAUCCAGCCCUCAAACUCCUUGGUACUGAUGGACCUAAACGAGUCGAAUGCUUCCAUCUACACAGAAACUUGCCUCUGGACGUUUACGGUAGCUUUAUUCAUAACUGCCAGAACUUGGAAGCAACCAAGAUGUCCUUCGGGAGGUGAAUGGACAGAUAGACGGGGCUCCAUCCAUGCAGCAGAAUGUUCUUCUCACUGAAAAGAAAAAUGAGAGAGAGAGGGAGCCACGGGGUGACAGGUGGGGCACCUUAACUGCAUGUCACUCACUGAAAGAAGCCAAUCUGGAAAGGUGCCACAGCUUAGGGUACCAACUACCUAUGACAUUCGGGAAAAGGCGAACCACGGAAAGGGUGGGUUGCUAGGGGUUUGUGGCGGGGUUAAGGGGUGGGGUAUGAUAAACAGGUCAAGCACAGAGGACUUUCAAGGCAGUGAAACUAUUCAUUGUGAUACAUUCAUGGCGAGAUACAUUUGUCAAAACCCAUAGAACGUACAACACCAGCAGUGAACCCUAGUGUAAACUCUGGACUCUGAUGACCAUGAUGUGUCCAUGUAGAUUCAGCGAUAAUGACCAACACACAGAAUGUUGAUAGGCUAGUUGGGGAGAGGGAAACU